CGAGUUUUAAUGACUCCAACAUAAGUGUAUGUAAACUUCCGACUUCAACUGUACAUAAGUAUUCACACCGCUAAGUCAAUAUUUUGUACAAAACCUUUGGCGGCGAUUACAGCUUUGUCGUCUUGGGUAUGUCUAUCAGCUCUACACAAGAUUGAUAAGGUAAGUAAAUGCAUGUAUUUUUCCUCAUAAAUGUAGCCCAUAUAUUAUUUCUUUGUAACAAUUAGAUCUUUAAUUGAUUUAAACUAAGGCAAAAAUACAGAUUGAGGCAUUCAAUCAAACUUGAAGACAGAGAAAUAUGUGUGCACCGGAGAGGUCAAGGCUUCUUGCAUGCAUGGUUUUGACAUGUAAGUUACACAAAAAAAUGUUGGGUUAUUUGGAUGACCCAAUUGCUGGGAUGCAGGCAUUGGGUCAAUAUAGUUGGGUUGUUUUCUGUAAAUACAGCAAGGUUGGAUUGUUGGUGCUGGGUUAUUAUUAAAGUUGGGUUAUGGAUAUUUGACCCAGCAGGUGGGUUAAUUCUCCCACCACAAGCGCGUGAAGUCCACCAGAAAACUUGGAAGUAUUCUAGUUCUAGCUAAUGCGACUGAGUGACUGACAAGUGGAAAACGGCUAACGUUAUUUAAACAGACUGAAGGUGUUUUGGCUUACUGAAAACCGUGAAAACGAUAAGUAACAAACGUUACGAAUUAUGAAUUUGAUGGUCAUUCAGGUUAAAUAGGUUAUCCUAUCAUAAUUAGGUAGCUAGCUAAUGUUAUCUUGAGUGUUUUCUGUGCUAAUAUCAUUUUCUGUGCUAAUAUCUCUGGCUGUGGUAACAUUAGCUAGCUAGCUAACAUUAGCCUCGCGACCAUGCUCGCGACGCUAGCUUACGGAAGUGUUGUGGCAGAAUAUAACUAAAUGUUUUGUUUUUUGUUGGCAUUUAGCUAGCUAGCCAUGUCAGUAUCUGUAAUGGUAGCUAACUAAAGUUAUUAGCUACCUUAGUGUGACACUUCUUCUGGACUGUAUCGGGCAUGGUUUCACUCGUUAACUACGUUAGCUAAAUUAGCUGGAUUAAUUUCACCAAGCUAUUUGGCAAGCUUAUCUCAUGCUUGCAUGGUGAUUGAUUGAGUUUGUUAGCGUUACUGCACUGGUUUUCAAUGGUUUCUGACAGUGGCAGCUUUAGUCGGACUUGUGAAGUUGAGGAGGAUGGAUGCAAAUUCUGUUAGCUAGCUAACGUUAGAGUUUACCUUAAAUUUGAUGUAGCCAAGUUAGCUAGAGCCAGCUAGCUAAACUAUGUUUGUAGCAUUUCUUGUUUUCGGUUCUUAGAUACAGAGGUCAAUGCUAAUGAAUGGACAGCUUUGUCAAGAUACAUCGAAUGAGGAAACCUGGCCCCUUUGAUUCCAAAGUUUGAGGCGGAAGAGAUGGACCAGGAAACCCUCUUGCUUUUGCAUGACUUGACAAUGGCCUGAAGUUAAAGAGGAACAUAAAUGCCUUACAAGCAGUGAGGAUUCUGUAAACGGCACCUUUUUUAUACAUGAGGGGAGGUCCACGGGACACACACAUGAAUACAUAGGACUGUGGAUACACCAAGCGACACACUGAGCUUGAGCAGUAGCCGGGUCUUGCCAGGUACAUGUUGAAAGAUUUGGGUAUUUUUUAAAUAAAUGUAUAAUUAAUUGAAUACUUCGUGCACACAACAGAGUCCAAUGUGAGAACGGCAGCCCACGUGACCAAGUGGCGCAACAACAUCUGGCCGGCAAACCCGGUUGCGGAGUACCUGAAGGAGACCGCAAUUCAGAGGGUUCAGUGGACCAGACCGAAUGGGGCCAAGACAGUCGAGAUAGUCUGAGAAUAUCCACGUUUGUUAAUACAAUAUUUGCUAAAAUAUUGUGCUAUUGGUUUUCUCAAAUGCUGUUUUUUCCUCUUUAGGUUUGAGACCUCUCAUUGUUUGGAUUUUAAAAUUAGAAACAGCAUUGGGUGUGGCUACUGUGUGAACAUGUGGAUCUGAGCAAGUGUGAUGUCAUACAUUUUUGUGGAUAUGUACUGUAUGUAAAUGUUAAGUUGUGUAUUGUUUUUGUCAAUGUAUGUUUUUGUUUGUCAAAAAAAAAGUUAAUUACAUUUUUUGUAAUAUGGUAUCUAUCUGUCACUACAGAUUGCUCAGGACUUCUACAAUUUAAACCCGGACUGCUCGGGGAAACUGACUAAUAGCUGGAUCGCGGUCUACAAGGACAAAGAACUUCGCUUCGCCAGCCCAGAGAGAAGCAGGCCCAAGAUCUUCUCUUCGAAGUGCAGAUACACAAGGUGAUGUGAUGGAAAAUGUUAUGAAGCGUGAGGGAAAUUCCCGUCUGACCAAAAGAGGACAUGGAAUGCCAUGGAAUGCCCCGCUGACAGCUGUCUGUAGGCAUUCAUAAGAGAAGUGUUUACAUGGUCUGCAGCCACUGAUAAUAGCACAAAGUCUAUAUAAAGAUAUAUAUGGUGCAUAGGAAGUAACAGGAGAAUCGUUGAAGAUGCUCAUGGGUUAAUAAGGGAGAUUACCGAGUGUGUUUGGGAAUAGUACUAAGUGAAUGUGGAUGUGAGAGUUGUGUGCGUGUGAAAGAGGUGCGUGUCUGAAAGUAUACCCCAACCAGUUCUGUGACCUGAGUUUUUUUAAUCUAUAAUGUUAUUAUAUAUGUAUAGGAAGUAGCGGCAAGCUAGUCUUAGGAGAAAGCUGUGAGGGCAGGAGUGAGGGCAGGACAAUUGUCUGUAGGCAAUCAUAAGAAGUGUCUACGUGGUCUGAGAACCACUGGCUAGUCUUAGGAGAAGGCUAGAGUGAGGCCAGAGAGGCCAAUUGUCUGUAUGUAUUUAUAAGAGAAGUGUAGGUAUUCAUAAGAAGUGUUUACGUGGUCUGAGAACCACUGGCUAGUCUUAGGAGAAGGCUAGAAUGAGGCCAGUUAUCUGUAGGCAUUUAUAAGAGAAGAGUCUACAUGGUCGGAGAACCACUGGAACCAUUGAAGAUCCAUAUGGUGAAUACAUAAGAAGUGUGUCUGCAGCCACUACUAAUAGAACGUGUGUAAUGAUAGACUACGUGGUCUGAGAACCACUGAUAAUAGCACACGGUGUUAUUGUAGGCAUUUAGAGUAGUUGAUGCCCAUGAGUGGUGUGGAUGUCUGUAGGCAUUUAUGAUCUAUAACAUUAUAAAGGGAUUCUGUAUAGAGAUAUGAAAGAGAGGACUAUUCCCAAAUAUGCUGUUAAAUAGAACACUAGAGUGUUUAAAUAUUUAAACCCCUGUAUGAAUACAACACUGGUGUAGAGGAGGAAUUUGUGAUGUAACACUAAUGUAUAAUGGGUUACUAGAGAUAAAGUAACAUAAUAUUGAUUAUAAUGGGUUACUGGAGAUCAGAUGAAAAAUACAUUUAUAAUAUACAAUUUGCACACCCACACAUACAGGUAUGUAAGUGGUGUAAAAAGUAUUCUGAGAAAUGUUCAGAGUGGUCCCUUUAUUGAUGAAGACAAAGUUAAAGCCUUUUACGGCACUUGACUUACCCCUAACCAAUAAAACUAUAAACGCUGAUGAGAUUUCCUCCAGCCUGGUAAUACAUUUUGAAAUAAAUCCCAUACCCUGUUAAAUAGACCCAAUGCUUUUCUGUAUUCACCUACUCAACCAUUUAACUUGCUAGGUAGAGACUUAUUAUGGACAGAGCACCAUGCCAUCUACAGGGGACUGAUAGACAGUGCCAGCUCAGUUAAUACAUAUUGAUCCCUCCAGAGUAUUACGUAUGAAUGUUAAAAUACUAGUCAUUUAAUAAAUAUUGAAGCAGAAAGUGAAUAUCCAACAGAGAUUGGUAAUAAAAAUUAUUAAUCACAACCUUGUAUCAUAUUGUCAUUCUGAACCGUCGUAACCUCCUUGCCUCUGCAAAAACCCAAGACUUAUUAUGAUUCAGUACUACACAAAUUGGUUUAAUUAUUUAUUUACUAGCUAAUUAAAUAGGAACACAGGAUAAACAUACACACUCUGCACCGGUUAUUGACUGAAGACUUAACACGCCGAAAACAGGUCCCUAGCGGAAUGACAACAACAUGGCUGCUUGUUAAAGAAGAGAUGGGGAGGGGACAGAGACACUUAACAUUAGUUUAAAAAUGUACCACUCUCACCUACAGUAACCAUUACUUUGCACACAAACCGCCACCCGUUGUGAGUCAGAAAUCAUGAAUGUAUUUACGUGAAAUGCCUGGGUUCGCCGGGGAUCUCUCGGUGGACAGGGUAGCCUUGGAAAUGGGGUUGGGCCUUUUCGCGGCACGCUUGUAAGGCUCUGAUUGUCCAAAAUGGUUCCAACACGUCUUCUACUGAUAUCAUUCUUUGUAGUUGUCCGGUAUCCGGGUGACUUGUUGUGUAUCCUGAACAUAACUACAGAGUUGAUUUUCCUUCCAUUCACAUCCCUCUCUUAACAAAAACACUUUCAUCAUUUUUGAUACUACAUGCACAAUGUAUAGUAUGGAAACUUCAUAUACAUUUGAAGUCGGAAGUUUACAUACAUUUAGGUUGGAGUCAUUAAAACUCGUUUUUCAACCACUUCACAAA